rnacentral:rRNA from 1 species
UACGAAGGGGGCUAGCGUUGCUCGGAUUUACUGGGCGUAAAGGGCGCGUAGGCGGCCAGCACAAGUCAGUUGUGAAAUUUCCGGGCUUAACUCGGAAAGGUCAACUGAUACUGUGCGGCUAGAGUGCAGAAGGGGCAACUGGAAUUCUCGGUGUAGCGGUGAAAUGCGUAGAUAUCGAGAGGAACACCUGCGGCGAAGGCGGGUUGCUGGGCUGACACUGACGCUGAUGCGCGAAAGCCAGGGGAGCGAACGGG